GUAGCUGGUCGCGUCAAACAAGAUUCUGAUUCCAGAGCGCUACCUGGAUGAGGAGGACACCACUCCUCUGAGUCCUGAGGAACAGAAGGAGAAGCAGAAGAAACUAGAGCGGAUCAAGACACUCAUUGCCAAAUCAAAUUUGCAGAACAUGGUUCCUCCUCUGGAUGGGCCAGUGGAAGGUGGUGCUCUGGUCAGCUCCCAGCAGCAGUUGCAAGAACAAGAGAAGCGAAUCGAGAUCUCCUGUGCUCUGGCUGCUGAGGCCUCUCGUCGUAGCCGCAUUCUCUCUGCCCAGUGUGCCCAGAGCACCCCAACUUCCCCGCCCAGCCUGGCCGCUUCUGACUUCCCCAACUCUGCCCACAUCAUGAAGGUGUGAGUCUUACAAGCUCAAGCAAUGGCUGCUUUUAAGUUUGAUGGAGCAUCCUUCUGAGGAUUCACUGGACAACAUGAUACAUGGAAAUGGUCACAGACAAUUACUUUUUUAGCACUUAACUGAUACUAAAUAGAUAUGGACAUCUGGGAAAAGACAUUUUUAGGAGGCAAGAGCACAUUUAAAACCCAAAUUUAAGCCAUAAAGUCUCCCUGCCCCAAAUUUGUCCAACCAAAACACCCACAUACUAUGUGUAUACAGUGGCACAAAAGAAGGCAGCAGCUCUCUUAACCAUCUUCAAAUUCUAUAAUAUUUCUACAUAAUUUAGCUAGGGACAUGUUUUACAAAAGAGAGAAUACUGAUGAGCUACGAUGAUAUUGAACUUUACAAAGGGAAUACUGCAUACAAAAGGCCCACACUGAAGAUAAGGGGAAAGAUUGGAAUGAGGCCAAGUGAAUAUUACUGAGGUCGACUAAAAGGCAAGAGUGGGAUCAGUGACUCACUGAGGAUACAGGAUAUAAUGACACUUUGACAUAAGACCAAAACAAGAUUUGAAAACCAGAGGACUCUUGUUGCAAACUCACUAUGAUGCCUGUUUAAGCUAGACCUCAUGUGACAUUAAUUGUGCUUUGAUGCAUCACCCAUCUUUCACGCUGAGCAUGAUGAAAAAAUAGAAUUUGUUUCCAGGCAGAGCUGAAGACAACAUUAAAUAAACCAUUAUCCACCUUAAAGUGCUGCUAACAACAAUAUAUUGUCUUACAUCAGAAUCAGAAAAUGACACGUAACACACAACAUUGAUUGACAUAACUUUUAUCCUCUACCUCUCUAAUAUACUGCUGUCUUCAUUGAGAUUUUAUUUACACAAGUACUGGUGGGUAUAUACUGAUAUACUUCUAAAUGAAAAAUGAUAUUCUCUGCACACACCACUAGGCAAUGUAUUACACAUAUUAUUGUUGCUCUGGCUUAUAUUCUGUUUAUACUUAUUCUUCUGUAUAAAUUUCGUCCCGCUACUCCUCCCGCAAUUUUUGACACACAUGCGCAAAAAAUACAUCAAAAUGUGUGGCUCGGUCAGGAAUGAUGUGCUAUGACCUUUCUAAGACAUUUGUCAAAUGGUUUGCUUGAAAAAUCUGAAAUAAAAUGAAUGGGAGUCAAUGUCUCUUGCCCUUUUAGAGGGAGAGUGAGAGCAGGGCUAAAAAUUCUACCUCUUGUGAGCUUAAACUGCUCUUUAAGUGAAAAAUGGAGAUUUCAUACAUGAUUUUUAGAUUCAAAAAACUUGUUUGCUUCACAGAAAUGCCACUAUAAAAUCUAUCAGAGCUAAACUUUUGGCUGUAUCCAUUUUUAACUUUAGUUUUCCGUUGCCCCUGUCUAUUGGGUCUAAUGUUAAUUUUGAGAGAAAGUUACAUUUUUCUAAUUCGCUCUCACAGACACAGUGUGUUCGACAAAGUUAUUUCACAGAUUUGUUCCAGGGUUGCGCCCAUAGACUGUAUAUAAAAAGGUUGUGCCAGAGCUUAGAUCUGUCUCUUUCCCAGUGGGGAGAGAACAGGCGCAUGCAAUCAGCAACUGAGUUUCCAUGGCAAGGUGAUACACACAGAGCAGAAGUUGUAAGAUUACAACUUUCACAACUGUUUGUCAACAUUCUGAUUUAGUUCGGUGGGCAGAUCACUUGAACAGUGAGUCUGUGUUUGUGAGUUCAAGACUAAGUUUUAUUUUGCUUUUUACUGAUGCUGCUAAAUAGAAACACGCAAAGUCUUCUCUCUCUCUGUCUGUUUCUCUGUGUCUGUCUCUCUGUCUGUCUCUCUCUCUGUGACUCUCUCUGUUUGUCUCUCUGUGUGUCUGUCAGGCAACCUGAUACACACAGAGCAGGAGGGAGGUCAGAGGGGAGGUUAAAAGUACAUUCAUAGCCAUGUAUCAAUGUGUAUUUAGCUCACUUCGUUCAAACAUGUUAACUGUGACUCAGUGGUCACAGGUUCAAGAUCAACCAAGGGCAAAAUUUUUAUUUUGCUUUUUACUGCUGCUAAAUAGAAACAUACUGAGUCAUCUCAAAAUAAAGCUACCCAGAUAGUAAUAGGAUGUAACCAGGAAACCUGAUGGAUUUUCAAAAUAAAAGUCCUGGAUGGUAAUAGCAUCUUACCAGGAAGCCUGAAAGAGGUUGGAAUUUCAAAAUUAAAGCCCCUGGAUAGUUACAGGAUGUUACCAGGAAACCCAAAAAGAGGCUUGCACAGUUUUUCUCCUGGAUCAUGUUAUAAUUAUGUUAUAAUCAUGCAGCUUUUGUAAAUGUCUCUCUCGAGCCAGCAGAAAGCACUAGGCACACAUUCAAAAUUUCUCAGGAGGAAUUUUCUAGUUCUGUAAUUACUACAUUGAGUAUUUGAGUAUGAAUAUAUGAUCCAUUUGUCAUGCUUUUAGGCCCAUGUAGUCAGCAUUUUGAACAACCGUAUUGAUGUUGAUUGUCCAAGUCAAGUAAAGCUCAUGAAAUAUAGACAGGUUUUGCAGGUAAUCUAAUUUUAGCUAUACACUUUCCCACAUUGAAGCACACCUAUUCUCCAGUACGGAAUUGCCAUUUGUCAUAGACAGUACAUUUGGGGGCCAGAAUUCAGUUUGAACUGGAGCCUUUUCUCGUAUUGACUUCACUCUCUGGUGUGGAAACCGGUCACAUUGUUCAAAACGAAAUCCCUAAUUAUGUAUGUUUGUAAAUAUGCUAAUUUUGUCUGAUACUAAGACAGACAAAUUUACACUGUCUGGGCAUGCUGUCUAUUCAGUUCAGUUCUGCCUGAGGUUUUUAGACCAGAGUUGUCACAUACCAUUUGUCAUGGGUCAAGCAUUAUGAUAAAUAGCACAACACCAGCAGUUGAUUAUAUACAGUAUUUGCCUGUAUCAUGUCUAUUUCAACCUUUACAAGAAUUGAUUAAAAGGAACAGGUAGUUACACAAUCUCAUUUCUGAGAUAUGGGGAAAGAAAUGUCAUGUGUCAGAGACAACAAGCCUAAAAUGAGAAAGGUUGUGUAUUGUUUUCAUUUUUAUCAAUUCUAAUUCAGAUUCUGCCUAUCAAUUCUGAUUCUUAUCAAUUCAGAUCUUCAAUUUAAAAAACAAAUGUGUCAAAUGUUUGGAUAAAAUAUCUUUGCUGCAUCAAAAGCUCUGAAUUAGGAAUGGGCACUGCUUCUUAGAGGUUUAUUACCACCUCAACAUUCGCAUGUAGUUGUACAAUAAGUUGAAUUGCAUUUUGCUUAGAAAUUAUCAUUUCACAAAUGUUUUUUGAGCACAUUAUCCAGUGUUCUGGGAGCCAUCAACAGAGUUGUGUAUAAGUACUUUGCAUGUUCCUGACCAUGCACUUAUAACUAACUGUUCAACAUCAUUAAUAAUGUGAUGCCACUUCAUGUCAUGAUAUGUCAGCAAAAAUUUUGAAUUUUAUUUUAUACAAUUCAACAUUAACUGUUAUAAUCAUUCUUAAUGCUGUUACCUUUUAUAUUGAGGAUCACUUCCAAGAUAAGUAUGAAGCUGGAAAAGAGCUUUAAAACAGGAGGACACCCUUUUUAUGUGGUCUUCAUUAAAGGAGAUAUGACCAGUCAAAGUCAGAUAUCCCCCAAAAAGUUUAAAAUUUGUCUCCAUUAAUUGCAAUCUGAGAAACAUAUAAUUUGGGUUACAUGGGGUUCUUGUGUGACCAGAGUUAGCAUUUCACUGAUAACUGUGUCCGUUCAGCCCAAAAUGUUCAUGAUUUGAAACAGCCUUCAGCAAUAACAUUACAUAAAAUUUUAGCUGUUUGAUAAUGUAAUAUGUAUAGGAAACCUACUGAUAUCAAUUAUAAAAGUCAUGUUCAAGAAAAUACGGAGUCCAUCAGAACAACAAUGGUGGUAAAAAUUGAAAACUAAAGUACAUUCAAUGCAUAACACCUAAUUGCUGUAUCAGGUCUCACUGUCCUGGAGGUACUUGCAAGGACUUGCACUGGUUGAGCAGGCUGACACUCAUAUUCUGAAACCGCAAACACUGUACAUUUCUCCAAAUCAAUACUGUGCGCCUUAUAUGUGUAAAAGUUUGAGGUGCAACCGGACUUACAGCAAAUAAACAUCCUGCAUGUACUGCAAUUGCCUCAUCAUCACUUUCUCCAUCUAAAGUAUAGCCUGAUUUUUGACCAUUUACUGUGGUCCAUCUUUCACAGUGUUGCUCAGAUGUUAAUCAUGCAUGCUAAACUGUAACUGUUAUCAAAACACAGGCAAUGUUACAUUGAUGCGCGACAUAGACAAUCAGGCCUAUAUAUCAUUUGGAACCUAGCAUCAGUUCCCAACCCUAAAAAGCAGAGAUAAAACUUUCUCACAGGUCAGGGUAAGGGUGAUUAACAUUUAUUCAAGUCAAUAUACUUUCAGCAUAUGCUGUUAAAAUACGUUCAUGAUUCUCCAACAAUUUAACAAAUAUGGUAAUUUCACAAUGAACAUUUUAGCACAGUUUAGAGACAAGAACCUUACAUCUCUGAACUGUUUAGGCAGAGAACGUUGGCACUGAACAUAAAGCUCUCAUCCAGAACAGUUGCAUAUGAAUGGAGUGCAUUGAAGACAAAGUUGUAUUCUGAAAUGAUACCAUUGCCUCUCCUCCCAACACUAUUUGUAUCUUUUGCAUCAGACUUCAUCAUAGUGCUUAAGAGAUACCCCAUCAUAGUGCUUAAGAGAUACCCCAGUAAUUAUCUAAACAUAUAUAGGUAACGUAUGUUAGAUAUAUCUUUAAAAACAGAUUACUGUAUGUUUAAGGUAAUAAUCAAAGUGGCCUUAGAAGACUAAGAGCAAAAUAAUAAUGAUUGUCUGUGGAGGAGUUAGCUAAUGAUGCUGUAAUUUGAGAGGAAUUACCCUAUAUACUGGGAAAUACUGUGGUAUUAUUAUAUUCUCAUAACAUUUCAUCCUGACAUGCAGUGCCAAAAGUCUGUAAAGUGUGUUUUAUGUGUUGUGAUGAAUGGACAUCUUAAUGACAAGACUCAUGGUUUGAAUCUGGAUGAAACACAAUGAUUGAUGGCUUAAAGGUUUGA